rnacentral:rRNA from 1 species
UACGUAGGGUGCGAGCGUUGUCCGGAAUUACUGGGCGUAAAGAGCUCGUAGGCGGUGUGUCGCGUCGGCCGUGAAAACCUGCAGCUUAACUGUGGGCUUGCGGUCGAUACGGGCAUCACUGGAGUUCGGCAGGGGAGACUGGAAUUCCUGGUGUAGCGGUGAAAUGCGCAGAUAUCAGGAGGAACACCGGUGGCGAAGGCGGGUCUCUGGGCCGAUACUGACGCUGAGGAGCGAAAGCGUGGGGAGCGAACAGG